rnacentral:rRNA from 1 species
GGUUAAGUGACUAAGCGUACACGGUGGAUGCCUUGGCAGUCAGAGGCGAUGAAAGACGUAGUAACUUGCGAUAAGCCCAGAUUAGGUAGUAACAACCAUUUGAGUCUGGGAUUUCUGAAUGGGGAAACCCACGUGCAUAAGCACGUAUCCUUACCUGAAUACAUAGGGUAAGGAGGCGAACCGGGGGAACUGAAACAUCUAAGUACCCCGAGGAAAAGAAAUCAACCGAGAUUCCGAAAGUAGCGGCGAGCGAAAUUGGACUAGCCCUUAAGCUUUACACGCGUUAGACGAACGGUCUGGAAAGUCCGACGAUACAGGGUGAUAGUCCCGUAGUUGACGACGUGUGUUCAGUGAAAUCGAGUAGGGCGGGACACGUGAUAUCCUGUCUGAAUAUGGGGGGACCAUCCUCCAAGGCUAAAUACUACUGACUGACCGAUAGUGAACCAGUACCGUGAGGGAAAGGCGAAAAGAACCCCUGUGAGGGGAGUGAAAUAGAACCUGAAACCGUGUACGUACAAGCAGUAGGAGCAGGCUUUGUCCUGUGACUGCGUACCUUUUGUAUAAUGGGUCAGCGACUUAUAUUCAGUGGCAAGGUUAACCAUCUAGGGGAGCCGUAGGGAAACCGAGUCUUAACUGGGCGUUCAGUCUCUGGAUAUAGACCCGAAACCAGGUGAUCUAGCCAUGGGCAGGUUGAAGGUUGAGUAACAUCAACUGGAGGACCGAACCGACUAAUGUUGAAAAAUUAGCGGAUGACUUGUGGCUAGGGGUGAAAGGCCAAUCAAACCUGGAGAUAGCUGGUUCUCCCCGAAAGCUAUUUAGGUAGCGCCUCGGACGAAUACUACUGGGGGUAGAGCACUGUUAAGGCUAGGGGGUCAUCCCGACUUACCAACCCUUUGCAAACUCCGAAUACCAGUAAGUACUAUCCGGGAGACACACGGCGGGUGCUAACGUCCGUCGUGGAGAGGGAAACAACCCAGACCGCCAGCUAAGGUCCCAAAUUACUACUAAGUGGGAAACGAUGUGGGAAGGCUCAGACAGCCAGGAUGUUGGCUUAGAAGCAGCCAUCAUUUAAAGAAAGCGUAAUAGCUCACUGGUCGAGUCGGCCUGCGCGGAAGAUGUAACGGGGCUAAGUAGUAAACCGAAGCUGCGGCAAUAUACUUUUGUAUAUUGGGUAGGGGAGCGUUCUGUAAGCGGUUGAAGGUGUGUGGUAACGCAUGCUGGACGUAUCAGAAGUGCGAAUGCUGACAUGAGUAACGAUAAAGGGGGUGAAAAACCUCCUCGCCGGAAGACCAAGGGUUCCUGUCCAACGUUAAUCGGGGCAGGGUAAGUCGACCCCUAAGGCGAGGCCGAAAGGCGUAGUCGAUGGGAAACGGGUUAAUAUUCCCGUACUUCUUACAAUUGCGAUGGGGGGACGGAGAAGGCUAGGUGGGCCUGGCGACGGUUGUCCAGGUUCAAGUGCGUAGGCUUAAGAGUUAGGUAAAUCCGGCUCUUUUUAAGGCUGAGACACGACGUCGAGCUACUACGGUAGUGAAGUCAUUGAUGCCAUGCUUCCAGGAAAAGCCUCUAAGCUUCAGAUUGUAAGGAAUCGUACCCCAAACCGACACAGGUGGUCGGGUAGAGAAUACCAAGGCGCUUGAGAGAACUCGGGUGAAGGAACUAGGCAAAAUGGUACCGUAACUUCGGGAGAAGGUACGCUCUCGACGGUGAAGUCCCUUGCGGAUGGAGCUAUUGAGAGUCGCAGAUACCAGGUGGCUGCAACUGUUUAUUAAAAACACAGCACUGUGCAAAAUCGUAAGAUGACGUAUACGGUGUGACGCCUGCCCGGUGCCGGAAGGUUAAUUGAUGGGGUUAGACUUCGGUCGAAGCUCUUGAUCGAAGCCCCGGUAAACGGCGGCCGUAACUAUAACGGUCCUAAGGUAGCGAAAUUCCUUGUCGGGUAAGUUCCGACCUGCACGAAUGGCGUAAUGAUGGCCACGCUGUCUCCACCCGAGACUCAGUGAAAUUGAAAUCGCUGUGAAGAUGCAGUGUACCCGCGGCUAGACGGAAAGACCCCGUGAACCUUUACUACAGCUUGGCACUGAACAUUGACCCUACAUGUGUAGGAUAGGUGGGAGGCUUUGAAGCACGUACGCCAGUAUGUGUGGAGCCGUCCUUGAAAUACCACCCUUGUAGUGUUGAUGUUCUAACGUCGACCCCUUAUCGGGGUUGCGGACAGUGCCUGGUGGGUAGUUUGACUGGGGCGGUCUCCUCCCAAAGAGUAACGGAGGAGCACGAAGGUGGGCUAAUCACGGUUGGACAUCGUGAGGUUAGUGCAAUGGCAUAAGCCCGCUUGACUGCGAGAAUGACAAUUCGAGCAGGUGCGAAAGCAGGUCAUAGUGAUCCGGUGGUUCUGAAUGGAAGGGCCAUCGCUCAACGGAUAAAAGGUACUCCGGGGAUAACAGGCUGAUACCGCCCAAGAGUUCAUAUCGACGGCGGUGUUUGGCACCUCGAUGUCGGCUCAUCACAUCCUGGGGCUGAAGUCGGUCCCAAGGGUAUGGCUGUUCGCCAUUUAAAGUGGUACGCGAGCUGGGUUUAGAACGUCGUGAGACAGUUCGGUCCCUAUCUGCCGUGGGCGUUGGAAGAUUGAAGGGGGCUGCUCCUAGUACGAGAGGACCGGAGUGGACGAACCUCUGGUGUUCGGGUUGUGUCGCCAGACGCAUUGCCCGGUAGCUAAGUUCGGAAUCGAUAACCGCUGAAAGCAUCUAAGCGGGAAGCGAGCCCUGAGAUGAGUCUUCCCUGAUACUUUAAGUAUCCUAAAGGGUUGUCGGAGACUACGACGUUGAUAGGUCAGGUGUGUAAGUGCUGUGAGGCAUUGAGCUAACUGAUACUAAUUGCCCGUGAGGCUUAACCAU